GAAAUGCGAUAAGUAAUGUGAAUUGCAGAAUUCAGUGAAUCAUCGAAUCUUUGAACGCACAUUGCGCCCGCCAGUAUUCUGGCGGGCAUGCCUGUUCGAGCGUCAUUUCAACCAUCAAGCCCCGCGCUUGUGUUGGGGACCUGCGGCUGCCGCAGGCCCUGAAAACCAGUGGCGGGCUCGCUGUCACACCGGGCGUAGUAGAUUUUAUCUCGCUCAGGGCGUGCUGCGGGUUCCGUCGUUAAAAAGCCUUUUUUACCCAAGGUUGACCUCGGAUCAGGUAGGAAGACCCGCUGAACUUAAGC
rnacentral:misc_RNA from 1 species